GCCUCCCAAAGUGCUGGGAUUACAGGCUUGAGCCACCGUGCCCGGCCAGUCUUUUGCAUUUUUAUAUAAAUUACAGAAUUACUUUGUCAGCUUCCAAGAAAAAAUUGCCAGAUUUUGAUUGGUAUUAUACUAAAUAUGUAGAUCAAUUGGAGGAGAAUGAACAUCAUUAACAAUGUUGACUCUUUCGGUUCAUGUCAUGAUAUUUCCCUCCACUUAUUUCAGUCCUGUUAAUAUUUAGUACUGCUCCACCUGUCUGCCCUCCAGGCUGGUGCUGGCCUCUGGAAUGGACGAACUUUGGGUACACUUGGAGAAAGAACUCCAGAUGUCACCUCCUACCCUCCAUGGUUCUCUCCUUGACUGUGGCAAGGAGAGGUGGUGAAGGGAAGAGACCAAAUAGGAAUCAGAGGAAGGGAGGCUGCAGUAACCCACUGCACCUUGGUACAGGGUCCUGUGCUGGAGAUGAUUAAGUAUGUAAGAAAAAAUCACAAGGCUGGUUACAGUCAUACUGGGUAGCAGACAAUGGAUGUAAAGGAGAAAGAAGCCUGGACACUUUGGCAAGAGGAGAGCUUAGUAUGUGUGGAUUGGACAGGACUGGUCCUAAAACUCCCUUCAUCACAAAAAAGCUGCAUGCCCCUGGAGAAGAUUCCCGUCAUUGGGCCUCUUUCCUCACCGUGAAAUGAGAGGACUUGGACCUGAUGCUCUGGAUGCUUCCUUCAGCUCUGCCACUAGAACACUGGUACUGAUGGAGGAUGAUGGCAAGAAGCUAGAUUGAGUAACAGGUCCCUGUUUCAGGCUAACUUCAUCCUGCUGGAUGGAAUUCCAGCCAAUGUGAUCCAAAGAGGGAAGCAGUACCAGGCUGCAGCCCUCGUCAUGGUGAAGAUGGAGCCUUCUGGGAAGCUGCUACCCAUGGUCAUCCAGACAUAAACAUCACCACAGUGCCUGAAAUAAGAGACCUGGUUAUCACCUCCCACUGACAGAUAAGGAGAUCAACAUUCAGAGAGUUUAUUACAUUGCCAAUAUCAAAGCUAGAGGUGAGCAUGGACUCAAAUCCAGGUCAGUCUGACUCCAGGGCACGACGCACAGGGAAGUCGGAGAGCGUGAGCGAGCGGGGAGCGUGAGUGUCAGGGCAGCAGGAGACCAGCCUGUCAAGGCAACAGCAGUGAGGAAAGCAUCGAGAGGGAGAAGACUCCGUGCUAUGUGACGGCCCCUACCAGGAAAGAGCCAAGCAUCUGGUCUCCACCAACCACCCCUCCAAUCUCCUCCUUGCCAGCUCCUGAUCCCCCAUAUCUACUACAAUCAUGGAAACCAACACCUGGACCUGACCCCAACGUAUCUCAGAAGGUGGAGUAUUUGCUAAGAUAAGAAGGGAAUGGGCACGAGGCCACCUAAUCAUCCAACAAUCUCUGUCCUGCCAGCUUCAAGAUCUCCCAGACCAACCUGUGUGAACGUCCUGACCUUAAGCCCCUGAGCCCUAUCCCUUUUAUAGCCAUGACUUUAAAUAUGAAAACCCCAUCUGUGAACCCCCUUUAUAUAUGUCCUCAUUCUCCAGCUGUGCCUCCGUCCCUCAAGACCUGUCAUCUCUUGUGUCCCAGGCAGUAGCACAGGUGGAGGGGGCCCAUGUGCAGUUGUUCCAUCAGGCACGGCCUCAGCUGACCUGCUGCUCCCUCUGUCGUCCUGAUGACCUGGCUGCCCAUGGCCUGCUGGACUCCCAUGUGCUCUCCAUGACCAUGAUGCUAGGCCCUGGAGAUUAUU